rnacentral:siRNA from 1 species
AGUGUCACGGAACAAAUGUCUUGA